rnacentral:rRNA from 1 species
AGGGGAGAGUUUGAUCCUGGCUCAGAUUGAACGCUGGCGGCAGGCCUAACACAUGCAAGUCGAGCGGAUGAAGGGAGCUUGCUCCUGGAUUCAGCGGCGGACGGGUGAGUAAUGCCUAGGAAUCUGCCUGGUAGUGGGGGAUAACGUCCGGAAACGGGCGCUAAUACCGCAUACGUCCUGAGGGAGAAAGUGGGGGAUCUUCGGACCUCACGCUAUCAGAUGAGCCUAGGUCGGAUUAGCUAGUUGGUGGGGUAAAGGCCNNNCAAGGCGACGAUCCGUAACUGGUCUGAGAGGAUGAUCAGUCACACUGGANUUGAGACACGGUCCAGACUCCUACGGGAGGCAGCAGUGGGGAAUAUUGGA